GUUGUCAUAUUGAUGUGAGUCCUUCAAUAGCUUCUUACAAAUACAUUUGUCUUUUCCAUGCCAAAUCUGUUAACAGUACUUCUCUUGAAUCAGUGAAGUUACUUUUUUUUUAAAGACAUGUCUUGAGGAAGGUUGGACCUGGGUAACAAACACCCAUAUAUAGUAGGGGGCAUAUACCAGUACGUAGGUAGGAUGAGGGCAAGGGAAACUCAGAAGGCAUUUGUGGAGCUGUUCUUUCAAUUCAUUUCACCUGCUAUAGAAUCAUAUGCUUGGGCUGUCCUGGAUUUUAAGAACUUAGAAGGAGGUGAUUCUGCAGCACACCCUGUUACAAGAUUUCUUGAAGCAAAAGGGUGGUUUAUUCAUACAAAAUGAAAUUUUUGAUAGUGAGAUCUAGAUAAUGGUGAGUUGCAUGAGUUGCCUUGGUAACGUAGUGCCUCUAAAGUCUUAUGCCUAGCUUUAAGACUUAGGGGGGAGAGGGGAAGAAAUGGAAAAAUAAUCAUUAUGCAGAGAAAUGUCCAUGUUUGUCAAAGGGACAGAACUUGCAGAGAACUUUUUGUCUCUCUAAAUUCUAGGAGAUCUCCCCCUCCCUGCCUAAGGUGAACAAUAGAAACUAUGGUGAUGCUGGAUCCAGCUCUUGUGAAAUGAGGUGCUUGUUUUCUUUCAGACAAAACCAAAAUCUGUCCCUAUUUAGAAAAAAAAAAAUACAGCAAAAUAUGUGAUCUCUUUUGGUUACAAUUUAAAGGACAGAUCAAGAAUCAAGAUCUAGUAUUUCUUUUCUGUAGAUGAGGUAUAGAAGGAGAAUCACCAGCUCUACUGUAUUUCCUUUCUCAUAUGAGGAGCCUUGUGUGUUUAAAGCACAAGAAUCAGUGGUUCACCAGUGGCAAAAGAUGCCUUUUUUCUUUUUCCUUUUUUUUUUUCUUUUUUUUUUUUUUAAGUUUUGAGAAACUUCAGUGACUUAGUUUGUGCUGACCAGCAGUGUGCUCCGAUUUAGCAGCAUUUCAGGAGCAUUUUCCCAGGGAGAGCUUGUGUGCAAGGUUUCCCCAAAAAACAUUUCUUUUUGUUGGUAAUGAGUUGUUAGGAAGACAGAUAGAAACACAAGGCUUUUGUGGAGCUUCCUCUGUCUUCUCGAGAA
rnacentral:lncRNA from 1 species